rnacentral:rRNA from 1 species
GGGCGGUGUGUACAAGGGCAGGGACGUAAUCAACGCAAGCUGAUGACUUGCGCUUACUAGGAAUUCCUCGUUGAAGAGCAAAAAUUACAAAGCUCUAUCCCCAGCACGACGGAGUUUCACAAGAUUACCAGGACCUCUCGGCCUAGGUUAGACUCGCUGGCUCCGUCAGUGUAGCGCGCGUGCGGCCCAGAACGUCUAAGGGCAUCACAGACCUGUUAUUGCCUCAAACUUCCAUCGACUUGAAAUCGAUAGUCCCUCUAAGAAGUGGAAGAACCAGCAAAUGCUAGCACCACUAUUUAGUAGGUUAAGGUCUCGUUCGUUAUCGCAAUUAAGCAGACAAAUCACUCCACCAACUAAGAACGGCCAUGCACCACCACCCACAAAAUCAAGAAAGAGCUCUCAAUCUGUCAAUCCUUAUUGUGUCUGGACCUGGUGAGUUUCCCCGUGUUGAGUCAAAUUAAGCCGCAGGCUCCACUCCUGGUGGUGCCCUUCCGUCAAUUCCUUUAAGUUUCAGCCUUGCGGCCAUACUCCCCCCAGAACCCAAAGACUUUGAUUUCUCGUAAGGUGCCGAGUGGGUCAUUAAAAAAACACCACCCGAUCCCUAGUCGGCAUAGUUUAUGGUUAAGACUACGACGGUAUCUGAUCAUCUUCGAUCCCCUAACUUUCGUUCUUGAUUAAUGAAAACGUCCUUGGCAAAUGCUUUCGCAGUAGUUAGUCUUCAAUAAAUCCAAGAAUUUCACCUCUGACAAUUGAAUACUGAUGCCCCCGACCGUCCCUAUUAAUCAUUACGAUGGUCCUAGAGACCAACAAAAUAGAACCAAACGUCCUAUUCCAUUAUUCCAUGCUAAUAUAUUCGAGCAAUACGCCUGCUUUGAACACUCUAAUUUUUUCAAAGUAAAAGUCCUGGUUCGCCAAGGACCCACAAGGAGCCCAAGGUUAGCCAGAAGGAAAGGCCCGGUUGCAUUCCAGUACGUGGCAAAAAGCCAGACCGGCCAACCAGGCCCAAAGUUCAACUACGA